AGGAGCUGCUUCUGGUAGCGUUCUGCGCUAUCAAGUGCGAGAGAGGCCUUGCCAUCUAGCGAGAGGCGGUGGAAACGCGGCAAGAACGCAACCGCAUCAGCACUGACAAGUAACGCGCAACACAUAACCACGCCCGCAGUUGUGUCGGGGUCCUUGGAAAGUCGCCAUUGACCCGGGACACGUUGCACAACAAGAACGGUUGCGUUACGCAAAGUCGUUUCUGCGUACGGCUCCCGCACGUCUCUGCACAGAAAGGUUUCGUUGCAAAGGAACAAAGCCGUUGUCGUAGGGCUCGUGCGCUGAGGAAGAGUGCCCGACUGGUACAGGGAGCUGGUGCGAAUUCGAAGCACCUAUCCAAACCGCCACGGUUUGUGUAACCAGUUGUCUAACAAACUUUGAAUCAGUUUAUGAACAGAUGCUGUGCAGGUACUGGAGAGAGAGAGACACGAAAACUAUCCCAAAGCUUUGUCUCUGUCGAAAAAACGUCAAGUCAACUUGCGGAGAAAGCACGUGCCUCGCGGUGCUUUUGGAAUGAUAUCAGCGCCGAGCACCGACGCACAGUUUAGAGAGCCUCAUGGAUGAACCAGUCACGCGUCUAGCAGUUCGCCAAAGAGUGAAAGCGCCUUGGUUUGAUAAAAACAAAAACCUUGAUUCCGGGAUGGAGACACUCGUGGACACGGACGACUUGUCCGAUCAAGUGCAGGUCGUAUUCAGCGCUGCAGCCGAAUACGACCCCGCUCCAUGACACAAAAUGCUCCGCGGUCACGCAAUAUCUCACAGAACAAGGAUAAGCGGCCAACUCGUGUCCCCGGAGUCUGAUCCAGACGUCAUCCGUUUACGCAGCAAUGGCUGCGACUUUGGCAUCCAACAGCCAGGCACACUACGCAAGCAAUCGACAUCAGCAGAGUCGGGAAGCGAUGUUGCACCACCUCAUUUGCCGAAACCGCUGAGCCGGCAACAACCACAGUACCCUGCUUCGAUGCAGCAAAAGCGCUAAGGUCAUCUAGUGCGAAAACGAGGCACCUCAGGCGUCAGCGUCCUUGCAGGCACGAGUGAGAAACACGUAAAUCACUGGGCGCUGAGGCCAACUAGAUCGCCACGGCACUAUUCAGGUGAAUCCUGCAGAUGACUGCACCUGCCUGUGCCGCUGCACGAUAUCUGUUGGCUAGUUCAUGCUGGGGAUCGCUCGCGACCCACUAAGUACGAGUCUCUGUAGACAAGAGAGCGCUCGUCGCUUCACGUCGCUGCUAGAAUGGGUGAGCAGCUCCAACAGACGUGGUUUGAUCUGCUCGGUUUCGAGGAUGAGCCGCGCUCGCGGUUGUACCCGCAAAAUUUCACAAACAUCGUUCAUAGCAAUAUUGAGCGUGUGGGCAUCUUGCGAGUCCCGGAUCAACGUACACAAUCGACGCAAGACUUUCCAAUUUUCCGCUUCAAAUUUGUUUGCGUUUUCCUCCCAAAAUGCUGCAUCCCGGUGCGCUGGUGUCCAGUCUAGCGAACCGACGAGGAGCUCCUCCAGAUACAUCUCUAACGAAGUCAUGGAGGAAAGCUCCUCUGCUAGUCGGCUUCGCAGGUGCAUCACGUCGAGCUGGAGUUCUUCAUCAUUCCAUCGACGAAGUGCAGCAUUAUUUGUGCCCAGAUACGUUGCAAUGCCCGCACCGAUCAUCUCUCGACAGAGUGUCGCGUCCUCGGAUAGGUUGCGUAAAACGGCAAGCGUCAAGCGCACCGCCUUUUGAGCCUUGAGCUCACGCAGAACGCCAUUCAAUCGUAGAGGUAAUCGGCCGCUUUCGAAAGGCUCCGGUCCGAUUUCCCGCACAGAAAAAGACAACAGCCACAGACUGAACAACACCUGGUAGAUGACUUCCAGAGGCGCUGCGGCUGGCUGCUCAAGAUAAGCACUGAGCGCCGAAAUCCCGUGGACGUGCUGCUUACCAAAAAAAGACGAGGGAGCUGAUGGCAUCUCCGCCGCUUCAGCGGCUUUGUUGGGCUCUCCGUCCCCCUCAUGGAAGACGUUACUCGUGCUAAAUAUGAUCCUGGCUGUGCUGUUACGCAAAAAGGCCGUUGUAGAUAGCAGCGCAUCCAUCAGCAAGGGGUCAGCGUAGUGCGCGGUGCGAAAAGGCCCCAAGCGUUGCCACAAACUCGACACGAGCACCGGUGCGAACUGCUCCAGAAGCGGCCGCUCCUGCUCAGCGUCGGUCAAUGGGUUUCCCAGGAGGAUGCCCGCGGGCCGGUGCACGCCAGCGUACAGUGCGAGGUCGACGUACCGACCCCAGUCGUCGUGCUGGCGGAACCACUCGAGACGCCGCCGACCCGUUUCGUCAAGUGCCCUACCCGCAGCUGGUUCCAUCAGGGACUCUAGAAUCUCCUGCAUGGCACCCACAGCCCUAUUAAAGGACUCUGCUUUGAUUCCUUGGGUGCUCGCGAGCUUCAAACGCUCAACAAGCCGAGCAGUGGCCCUAUGCGCCGUGGCCACGACCUCCACUAGCUCAGCUUGAACCAGUGCAGCCCGCUGGACGCGGGUCAACGACAAGUACCUCAGCAGUGUCGAAACAUCUCUGGAGGGUAGAUCUAGAGCAUCAAGCGGAGACCGCACCGCCAGACCGAUAUCCAUUUCGGAUGCCGCCAAAAAGCCGCACUGAAGCGCCCGGGGUGUGCCAGCUCUACAGCGCAACUCCUGAGCGUGCUCGCCAACGGUAGCGAAACCGCCUCCAAAGAGGCAGCAGGUACCUAAACACCAACACACCCG